rnacentral:rRNA from 1 species
AUUGAACGCUGGCGGCAGGCCUAACACAUGCAAGUCGAGCGGAUGAAGGGAGCUUGCUCCUGGAUUCAGCGGCGGACGGGUGAGUAAUGCCUAGGAAUCUGCCUGGUAGUGGGGGAUAACGUCCGGAAACGGGCGCUAAUACCGCAUACGUCCUGAGGGAGAUAGUGGGGGAUCUUCGGACCUCACGCUAUCAGAUGAGCCUAGGUCGGAUUAGCUAGUUGGUGGGGUAAGGGCCUACCAAGGCGACGAUCCGUAACUGGUCUGAGAGGAUGAUCAGUCACACUGGAACUGAGACACGGUCCAGACUCCUACGGGAGGCAGCAGUGGGGAAUAUUGGACAAUGGGCGAAAGCCUGAUCCAGCCAUGCCGCGUGUGUGAAGAAGGUCUUCGGAUUGUAAAGCACUUUAAGUUGGGAGGAAGGGCAGUAAGUUAAUACCUUGCUGUUUUGACGUUACCGACAGAAUAAGCACCGGCUAACUUCGUG